rnacentral:rRNA from 1 species
AAAACAUAGCCCUAAGGAUUUAUUUAGGGUAAUACCUGCCCAAUGAGAAAUUUAAUGGCCGCGGUACUUUGACCGUGCUAAGGUAGCAUAAUCAAUUGACUUUUAAAUGAAGUCUGGAAUGAAAGGGGAAACGGAAUUUAGCUGUCUCAGUCCCUUUAAUUUGAAUUUACUAACUAAGUGAAAAGGCUUAGGAAAGAUAAAAGACGAGAAGACCCUAAGAGUUUGAGUAUUUUUUUGUUGGGGCGACAUAGGGUCAAAUUGAAAACACCCUCAAUAUAUAAGACGGAUUUAUCAUGUUAAGAUAAACUACCUUAGGGAUAACAGCAUAAUUCUUUAGAGUUUGUGACCUCGAUGUUGGACUAGGGAGCCUUUAGGCUAGUUGCCUAAAAGGGGGAUUCUGUUCGAAUUUUUACCCCUACGUGAUCU